ACAACCCCCUCUGCUCUUAGAUACUUUGAACCUUUUUCAAGAUUUUGACCAACUGUGCAAGCCUUCUGAUAAAAAUCACAGGCUUUACAAUACAAUAUCGACUCACUCUUUGUUUCCCUUCUACUUUCCUUCUCUUUUGCAAGCUCAGGUGACAUUUUUCAGAUGUGUAUAUGUGGAAGUGUGUGAGCGUGUAAAUUUUACUCUGAAUGUUUUCUCACAAAUCACCUGUGUGAUGCCUCUUUUCAGUUCCCUUUAAAAGCCUGGGCAAGUGAAAGAGAAGAGCCAAAAUGUCUCUCAUUGAUUCUCUGACGUGAUGAGCACAAGUUUAAGUGGAGAAAUGUACAAAGCAAAAAAGAUGCUGAGAAACAGUACUGGACAUGUAUUGUGCCACAGUAAGAUCACGUUUUUCUAUUUUGUUUCUUCCCUUGUCUGAUUUCUCUUUAGAUAAAACUACCAUUCACUAGUUAUGUGAUCUUAGAAAAAUGGCUUAACCUCUCUGGAUUUCAAUUGCUGUAUCAGAAAAAGGGGCCCAAACCAGCCACAGCGGCACACACCUAUAAUUCCAGCACUCUAGGAGGCUGAGAUAGGGUUAGUUUGCACCCAGUUUGGGUAAGUUAGCCACUUAGCAUGACAUUACAAAAAAAAAAAGUUGAAAAAGGUACGGGAUGUAGGUCAUCAUGAAGGCCCUGUGUUCAGUCCUCAGCACAUAAAAACAAACAAACAAACCAGUAAAGAAAAAUCAAGAAAAGAAAGAAAGGAAAAUGAUGGGCCUCCUAGGUACCAGAUCACUGUAUGGAUUACAUGCUAAAACAGCACUUGAAUUGCUCAGGAUACUGGCUGCCGUGUAGUUCUAAUUAACUGUUAAUUAUUACUAUAAUUAUCCUAUUCAUAAAAUAAUUAAGUGGCUAAAAUGGAAGAAGGGAGCUGUAUAUUUUUGCCUGUGAUGAAACUCAUAAUUUGAGGUCUAGCAGAGAUGAGACAGCCCCUGGCCCAGCCCCGUUAGGAACCAGGCAUGAAAUAAAAACCAGCUGGUGAUUUGCCAAAGAGAAACUCACUGCUAAGGCGAGACUUGAACCCAGCCCUCCUGGUUCCUGAAUGAGCCAGGUCAGUAUGACCCAUUGCAUUUCCCCUGACACAACCAAGGACAGGAUUGUAUUUUCUUUGCUCUUAGCAGUUGCCACUGUGACAAUGGCAGGAUGUCUCAUUAGGGAGAGGAGUGGUGAGCUGUUAUCUCGCAGUGCCAGCUUCCAAAGUUUCUGCCUCCACGAGAGAAGUAUGAUCAAUGAUAUUUUACUGGGUUAUGAUAUUUACUGGGUCUUUGAGCACAGGACCUAUCCUCUCUGGUCUUUCCCUUCUGUAAAUCACAGGAGUGUACUCGUUGUCUAGUAUUCCAUGGAGCACAGACCCAGAAGCAAGCAGACCCCAGGGUCAGCAUCCCUGGAGUGGAGCUUGGGAGUCUGCAUUGUCAACCAGUUUCCUGAAUGAUCCUAAAGCAUGUGGAACUUUACAAAUGACUGACUGGGAGGAUUUCUCAGUGUUCUUCUCUUUCUAACAUGCUCAGAUUUCAGUGAAGUUCCCCAAAAUUACAACUUUGCUUGUGGCUUAGUUUUAAUAUACUCCCUUCACGCCCAAAAUGCUAGUUGAUGUAGAAUGUACAAUUAUUUCCGUAAUGUCAUCUUCUAAAUAUGUUUUUACUCUGCAUGUUUGUAACUUCCCAAGAGUAAUUUAAUCUGAAGUUUCCACAUGAACGUGGUAGUAUCUCCUAUCAGCGUAAGACACUGUAUUACUUCCCUAGUUUCUGAGGUUCAGUGGAAUAUUUGGAUAGCAGUGCUGGGGUUACAAGCAAAUCCACUUUUAUAGAUGAUGAGGCUGUCCUAAGGUGGGGAGCUUCUGAUAUUUCCUGUCAUAUGUUCUUGCUGGUGUUCUUCUGUCCCAGAUCCCCUCGGUGGUUCUAGUGGAGGUGAGCUGUCCAAGUUUGUGACAAUCUAGAACACAAGAAGCCGCCAGACAAUUAAAGCUUUAGAUUUAGUCAGUUUUAGCUUGGAAACAAGGCUGAUAUUUUCUGACAGUUGCAUGAGGGCAAAGUAUGAGCUAAUUUCUCGCUCUGCUCAGACACUGAGCUGGGAUUCAGAGAUGGGUGGUACCCUGCAACACACCUGCAUCCUGGACAAACAGCUGUGGGACCAUUCAUUUCAAUACCAAGUGGCAAGGAUUUUGGUUCCAGCUUCCUCUGGAAAAAAACCAAGGCAUAACUAAUCGUGCAACAAUCUUGGAAAGCAGCUAUUUGACAUGAAAUCAAUGUGACCUUAACUUCAUUCUUUUAUAAAACAAUAAGGCAUUUGCUUCAACUAAAGACCUGUAGCCUGGAGUUUAAGAAAUGGCCAGGAGUUGUCAAAACAGGAAACUUGAAAUCAUUUUUGAUUAAUGGAGUCAUGCUUGGAGUUACAACCUGAAGACUUCUUACUGCAAGUAUUCAAUUGGCUGAUUAUAAUUUGUUAGCCAGGUGUCGGCAUGAUAGGAUGUUUCCCUUGUUUUAAAAAUAAGUUGUGGUAUGGAUUGUCACAGAGACUAACGUGCCCAAGACACUUGACUGCAGGUGUCUCCUCUAUAGUGAAUAAUUGUUUAAGGAAGCACAUACAUCCCUCCAGGACCAUGGCAUUUUGGGCUAGUAGAUGGUUACCAGUUAACCUAACAGUUGAACCUAAAUUCAGUAAGAAAACACUUCUCUAUUUGACUCUUUCUUAUAUGGCAUUACCGCAGGAUACGGCGCGCAGUGAACAGAAAGCAGCAGGUUUCCUCAAGGCAAGGACUGGUACCAAGCACCCAGAGCUAUUCCUGACAAGUGUUGGUGUGUCCCUCGUACGUAUUGUUGGAAACUAGGUUUUAUAAUUUGUUUUUGCUUUGAAAGGCUUUUUAAGACUGCCAAAAAUAUGUAUGGGAAGAGUGACCAAUAUCAGUACCCACGCUUGAUAUGGAUCCUGUGAAUUUUGCCAAAGAGCCAAGGUGUGCUUUUCUUUUCACUUGGUUAAUCAAAGCUGUUAAUUACUUCAAAAUACCCAAUUUGCGUUUUUUUUUCACUCUCAGAUUUAUGACUAUAUAAUUAAUGAGUUUCUUAAUUCUAUGUUGUGCAUUAACUUAUUCAGCAGUGAAACCUGACACUAUGCAAGGAUUAGAUCAUUGGGUUCUUUCCAAUAACCGAAACAUUAGAUUUCUAGAAAAUUCACUGUGGCAUGUCUGCGCCAAUUCCCGGUUAGAUAGCUCAACGUGAAAACUACCUAUCUAUGUAAUGUGUAAUCAUCUUUAAAUCUCCUUUGGCUCUUUUGACAUUGGAAAUUCCUCUUUCCUUUCCCAGUUAUCUGCAAGUGAUAGUGGAGGUGAAAUUAGGAUCCCUAAAAAUUUAUGGAAUAAAUUUUCCAUGGAAACU